GCAUGCAUGAAUCAUGUAUUUGUCAAUCAUGGUUUAUUUGUAAAAGAAUGAGACAAAGCAUAAACAAAGAAACUUUUUUCAUGCAUCCUGGCAUUAAAAUAUGGAUGGUAAGUUAAAUGUUACAUAUAAAAAAAGAAGAUGUGGUAUGAUUGCCAAUGAGACAACUCUCCGCAAAAGACCAAAAUGACACAGAAAUUAACAUCUACAAGUUACCGUACGGCCUUCAACAAUGAGCAAAGCCCAUACCGCAUAGUCAGCUAUAAAAGGCCCUGAAAUGACAUAGACUAUUACAAAAUAUGAACAUGUUCAGGCAUUAGACUGAUCGAAAGUGACUUGACUAUAGAUAACCAAUCUUUAACCAUAAAAUGUAGGCAUGUACCACUUGGGAAUGCAGAGAGAAAGGCAGCAAGCAGCAUGAUUAUUUUGUUGUGGCGUGUGAUUUUUAGUUACAUUAUGCAUUUUCAUUUAACGGAAAUGGCACUUACCCAUGAUAAUUGUAUAACACUCACUAGACGACAAGUGUGUGAAAGGCAAGCUAAACCCG
rnacentral:lncRNA from 1 species